UACGUAGGGUGCGAGCGUUAAUCGGAAUUACUGGGCGUAAAGCGUGCGCAGGCGGUGAUGUAAGACAGUUGUGAAAUCCCCGGGCUUAACCUGGGAAUUGCAUCUGUGACUGCAUCGCUAGAGUACGGUAGAGGGGGAUGGAAUUCCGCGUGUAGCAGUGAAAUGCGUAGAUAUGUGGAGGAACACCGAUGGCGAAGGCAAUCCCCUGGACCUGUACUGACGCUCAGGCGCGAAAGCGUGGGGAGCAAACAGG
rnacentral:rRNA from 1 species